GUCAAGUCUCAUCACACACCAGAGAAUACACACAGGAGAGAGGCCCUAUGUUUGCAAGGAGUGUGGGCGUGCAUUCAGUAUGAGUUCACAGCUCAUCAGACACCAGAGAACACACACAGGAGAGAGGCCCUAUGUUUGCAAGGAGUGUGGGCGUGGCUUCAUUGUGAGGUCAGGUCUCAUUAUACACCAGAGAACACACACAGGAGAGAAGCCCUAUGCUUGCAAGGAGUGUGGGCAUACCUUCAGUCAGAGAUCAGGUCUCAUCACACACCAGAGAACACACACAAGAGAGAAGCCCUAUGUUUGUGGGGAGUGUGGCCAUGGCUUCAGCAUGAGUGCAAGUCUCAUCAGACACCAGAGGACACACAGUUGAGAAGCCCCAUGUUUGCAGGG